rnacentral:lncRNA from 1 species
CCCCAUCAAUUGUCCAGUCCACCAUUGACAAACCUCCGCCCACCACCAUUCCAAUUGAUUAACACUAGAAAAUACCCAAAUUCCAUUGAUGAACACUACAAAAUAUCCAAAUUUUACUGAUGAACAUUAUAAAUAAUACCCAAAUUCUUUCUUAGAUAAAGUCCUAAUCGCAAGAAAAAAUUUAAUGCCCAAUUUUCUUUAUUACUCUCUAUAAUGGUGGGAAUAUUUGAAAGAGGUUAGGGAAGAAAAACAAAGGUGAACCCAUAUAUACAUCGCCAUAAAGAGAAAAUCAAGAUUUCUUAAAUUGGGUUUACAAACUAUUGUAGAACACGAUGAUUGGAGGAAGCGAUGGAUAGUGGUUGCGCACGGCCAUGGCACUCGUUAAUGGUGGCAACCAUGGAGGUGGAUGGAAGAAGGGAG